rnacentral:miRNA from 1 species
GGCGGUGCAGGGCUGGGCUGGGCUCCGCAUCUGCAGCGCGACA